rnacentral:rRNA from 1 species
CGGGAACACCUGGCGGCGUGCUAUACAUGCAGUCGAGCGAACAAUUGAAAGCCUAGCUUUCAUGAGGUUAGCGGCGGACGGGUGAGUAACACGUGGGUAACCUGCCCUAUAGACUGGGAUAACUCGCGGAAACGCGUGCUAAUACCGGAUAAUACAUCAAAGUGCAUGCUUUGAUGUUGAAAGAUGGUUCUGCUAUCACUAUAGGAUGGGCCCGCGGCGCAUUAGCUUGUUGGUGGGGUAACGGCCUACCAAGGCGACGAUGCGUAGCCGACCUGAGAGGGUGAUCGGCCACACUGGGACUGAGACACGGCCCAGACUCCUACGGGAGGCAGCAGUAGGGAAUCUUCCACAAUGGGCGAAAGCCUGAUGGAGCAACGCCGCGUGAGCGAAGAAGGUCUUCGGAUCGUAAAGCUCUGUUGUAAGGGAAGAACAAGUGCAGUAGUAACUGGCUGCACCUUGACGGUACCUUACUAGAAAGCCACGGCUAACUACGUGCCAGCAGCCGCGGUAAUACGUAGGUGGCAAGCGUUGUCCGGAAUUAUUGGGCGUAAAGCGCGCGCAGGCGGUCUCUUAAGUCUGAUGUGAAAGCCCCCGGCUUAACCGGGGAGGGUCAUUGGAAACUGGGAGACUUGAGUGCAGGAGAGGGAAGCGGAAUUCCAUGUGUAGCGGUGAAAUGC